UGAAGGAAAAAGAGAAGAGAGAAAAAAAGAAGAAUCUUGAAGACGCCAUUUUUCUGUCCUCGCUUGGAGCAGAUAGAGAUGAAACCGAACAAGAGCUCAGAUUGUAACGACAGCACCAGGAAUUGUUGCAUGUGGUCCUCCCAGAGGAACGGAAGACUUCUCUUUAUCCUAUAUGCUUCAAAGAAGUGGUAUGUACAUCUGCGCUCCUCUCCACUUAGCUGUGGCUGUAGGGUAAUGCUAGUUAAUGUGUCUUCCAGAUCAAGGAGGGGGGGGUGUCUCCACCGGAGACUCUGUUGUUCUGCUGCUUUUCUGCACUGUUCCAUUGGAUCUGUUUCCCUGUCGUUGACCCGGUGCUGGACCAUCAUCCGGCUCCAAGGCCUCUCCACCCUGCUGCUCGGGCUGGUUAAACGGGAUCAGCGGAGACCAUCGGGAGCGGCUUUUCUCACUCGCUCCUCUAGACUGAGUACCAGCGGAGGACCUACACCCGGCUGUGAGCUGACAGUGGUGGCCGAGCCCUGGUGGUAGUCCCAUCUGAUGGUGUGCGUGUGCUCCAGAGUCACUUCACCCCCCCAAUGCAUGCACGUGUGAUUGGGGUGAAAUUACUUGUGGUGGCCCCGCUCACCACAUAGGGAUUGGGGACUCUGGAGGAGGAGGACAAAGAGGGGACUCUGGAGGAGGAGGACAAAGAGGGGACUCUGGAGGAGGACGACGAGAAAGGAAACCUCACUUGGCAAUAAAAACAAUUCUGAUUUUAAUACUUUAAUACUAAUAAUAAGGGCCUGGGGUCUCAUUUAUCAAACAUUGCGUAGAAUCAUUACUAAAACCGUAUUUAAGCUCAGCAAAAAAAUGUACUCAUGCCAAGUAGGUUUGUGAUCUAUCAAACAUGGAGUACGCACAGCUGCACGCAAUCUCCGCUUCCUAAAUCGGAGACUAACAAGAAUGUUUCUCAGCUGCAUUUUAGUCACAUCCCACCCUCACCAUGCCCACUUACUGCCAUAAAUAGUCAAUGCAAAGGGCCUUGUGGAUCUCAUGCAUAUACAUAAGCCAGCUGUUGCAGCGUUCCACCAAUGACGAUGGCGACCGUAGAUCAAGGCAGAUCAAGGAAGCGCAAUUUCACAGAAGCAGAAAUUGAGGUACCUGUGGGUGAGGUGGAGAAAUGAAAGGAAGUGCUUCUGCAAAACGAGAAAAUCCACGGAGUGGCACAGCGUUGCUGAAGCCGUCAAUGUUGUGAGUUCUUCAGAGAGAUCUGUGGCGGGGAUGAAAAAAAAAAGGUCCAAUCGAGAUUCAAUCCCCAGACCCCCGGGUGAAAGUCACACGUGCUAAUCAGUCAGCCAAACGGAGAUCUCUCCUGUACAAGUAGCCAGGGUGCAUGAUCAAUCGGGUCACAGUGACAGGACACACACUGUCACAGACGCAUGACAUUCUGUUUCAAUCUGUCCCUCUGCUGAUAUUCUGCAUUCCGUAUUCUGCGUUUCAGGGUGUGUGUGUGUGUGAGCGCGCACACGCGUGUGUGCGUGUGGGGGGUCUUGUUCUGUCUGAAAACGAAGCGGUACAAGUGAUAGUGCUGCAGGAUUUCAUAAUUUUAUCCUUCUCAGCAGCAGCAUUGCAGGUGCUCUCCAUGUCCAACAUGUGCGUAAGCCAGGUCCUUAGUCAACUUAAAGUUGCGCACAUUUUUCCGCUAAGUUUUCUUUCAUAAAUCCUAAAGUUUGCGUGGAAAGUUGCUUACGCAGUUUUCCGACCCCGUUUUGUGCGUAAGCAAGCUUGAUAAAUAGGCCCCAGUUUAUUAACUUUCAAGACUUAAAGAGUGACCGCGCAGACACCCUGUUCUUAUUAAGCAUAUCUAAAUUAUUAGGCCCUCAAAAAUAGAUUUAGUUAGCUAAUGAAACAAAGUAAUUUAUAUUAAAAUAAAGCACAUCAGCUCACCUUGUCAUUUGUAACAGGAAUUGUGUUGACAAGCUUUCUAAAAGCUGGUGAGUCCACAAUUGAAAGGGGCUGCAUGUCUUCUACGAUGAACUCCGCAAAUAACCUCUUCACCUCACGUGGAUCUAGUAGCUUCGGAGACUGUGAAUUCUAAAGUUUGUUGCUUCUGUCUUUUGCUUGGAGUGUCAUUGUUCUCUUCUGGGAACUUUCUCUUGUCUGAUGGUCCAGAGCAUCUCUGUCAACAGUGUGUUACCAUGACAUCGCUGAAUGUGUUUUUUUUUUUUUUUUCAAAUUACUGGUGCUGUUUGGUGAAGUUGAAAGCUCCUUUGACGUAGCACACAAAUUGCACUUUUCUAUAAUGAUUCUGUCCUUUUCUUUCACAAACUGAAAAUAGUGUGAAUAAUACCACCGAGUAAAUGUGCAGUCGAUCUCCGUUUCUUUCUCAGUCAUCCUUCCUGAUUCUCUCAUGGUUUGGUUUUGGGUUUUGAGUCACGCGCAAUGGUUGUGCGAGCUAGAUGUACAACAAGCCACUGGAAGUGCGUAGCGGAUCGUCUUCAAUGGUAUUCAACUUGUUUUGGUCUGCAGCAUAUUUUUCAUGCGUAACAUCAUCAAUUCAAACCUAAAUGUGCUUGUAACUCGUGUUACCGAAAUUGUAACUAGUAAUAUUUUGCCGUGUACUUUUUAAGUAAUGCACUAUAUUACUCCGUCACUGAAAAAAGGAAUAUAUUACUUUAACUCCCUACUAUCGUAAUGUGUUACUCCCAACACUGGUUAAGGGUGUAGAUCCAGAAAGCUUCUCUGCGUAAAAGGCCGUUAAUAAUAUUACAACCUCUAGAGGGAAGAGUAACAGCUUCUAUACCCCCAGAGUCUUAAAGAUGCUACCGACCCGUGACUUAUAGCGCAGCGCCAUGGUGUAUUGCUGUUUUAGGUUCUCCUAUUCUGAGUUUAAGAGAUUGUUUAGUUUGUCCCACAUAUGCCAGACCACACGGGCAUUUAAGCAGGUAGUUCACAUGAGUGCUAAUGCAGUUAAUAAUGUUUCUUGCCAGUGUGUAGAUGUGUAAAGUAUUUCCCUAGCCGUAAAGAGGCUGUAAAAUCACAGACUGAUAGUGACCUGGCUUUGUUGCUACUUGACUUGUAAGUAAUAAUAUUUCUCAAUAACUUCGGAGACCAUCUUGAAUAAGGCUGACUCUCCGAAGGUUUAUCAGUCGAUCAUGAUGUGCAUUGAUUUUCUUGAGUUUUAGGCAUAUACAGUAGUUGCGUCUUUGGUUUUAUGGCUUCUAAGCUUAUAUCUGUGUUUUUGUGUUUUUUAUGAAUUUUUUAUUGUAUUUACUGUUCUAUGAAAGUGUGAAAGAUGAGGUGGAUGAUGAUGAGCCCUGUUGAAAGACAAAUUUCUGUAACCGCUUGGUGUCAGUUUUUCCACUCUAUUCUUAUUUUCUGAGUUUCAUUAAAAUUUAUCCUUUUGAGAUAAUUUGUUACAGUCACUGGAGAAAAAAAACCUAAAACUGGAAAAUACACAGAUUUUCCCUUUUAUUAUUUAAACAUUUGUAUAAUGAGGGAAUAAAAAAAGCUAAUUUCCCUGACUGAAAUUUAAAAUCAUUCUGUCUAUUCAGCAAGUAACUGUAAACACACACACACACGUACACGCUGAAGAUACACACACACUCACACACACUGAACUUUGAGGAUUAGCAAGUCAGCAGACAGUGUUGUGCAUGUAUUUGGUCGUCAGUUUCAUGCAAGUGAAGAGAAAAGAGGAAGCAGGCUGUUCAUGCAAACAGGAUGUGACCUGUGAAAUGUAGUUUACAAGCUUGUAUGCUAUUGCUUGAGACAAAAAUGUGGGUUUGAAUUUACUUUUAAGGGUCUGCAAAUUUCUAUCUGAACUUGAAAAAUAAAUCAUAAACAAAAUCUUGUUUAAAAAAAAAAGAUGCUUUUUCUAAACAAAAAAAUCCAAGUAAAAAGAUGCGGGUCCCAAAGCAAAGCCACAUGAUAUACUUGAACUCCUGCGGUCUUUGUGGGUCAUCUCCUCUGAAACUAUUUUAAUAGUUUAACAUUGCAAAGCGUGACACACAUGCAACUCCAAGUGCGUGAGCAGAAACCUAAACCAUCAUGUUUAAAUUUAACAACCUUGUUGAAAAUUUUCUUUGCAGUUUGUUACGCACUUCAGGAACCAGAAUCUGAGCACAGGGAACAAAAACCCAACGCACCAAUCAGCCACUAGUAUUUUUAUGGGCUAUGGAAAAACAACUAUGCACAGUCACAAGGAUAAUAUUAUGCACAAUUGCAUGCAUGAAUUUAUUUGAAUGUUUUUCUGUAACCGAAUGUGGAUACAGAUUUUGUGAUUAUGCAGUGACUCUUGGCCUACUUUUAAACGGAAACUGACCGAUGGUUUAAAAUAAAUGUAAUUAUACAUUUCUUGUUUAAUACUGUAUAUUUAGUACUGUGUGUUAUCACUAUGGCAUCUCAAAUAAUAAAAUGUGUUGUCAAAUUGUCUUUA